rfam:Penicillium decumbens strain IBT 11843 PENDEC_contig017, whole genome shotgun sequence.
UCCCAUAUGGGGUAACGGCUAGCCUCACCGUCUUUCACACGGUAGACCCGGGUUCGACUCCCGGUGUGGGAA